rfam:Picea glauca, whole genome shotgun sequence.
AUGUGAAUUCCCAUAACAUAGAUUUAAUGCAUCAUAUCCCAUUAGAACUCCACAAUUAAGCAUGCUCAGGAUAUAGUAGUACUGGGAUGGGCAACCGCCCGAAAAGUCCUAGUAUUUUACAUG